GAUGAAGAACGUAGCGAAAUGCGAUAUGUAAUGUGAAUUGCAGAAUUCAGUGAAUCAUCGAAUCUUUGAACGCACAUUGCGCCCGCCAGUAUUCUGGCGGGCAUGCCUGUUCGAGCGUCAUUUCAACCAUCAAGCCCCCGGCUUGUGUUGGGGACCUGCGGCUGCCGCAGGCCCUGAAAAGCAGUGGCGGGCUCGCUGUCACACCGAGCGUAGUAGCAUACAUCUCGCUCUGGGCGUGCUGCGGGUUCCGGCCGUUAAACCACCUUCAUAACCCAAGGUUGACCUCGGAUCAGGUAGGAAGACCCGCUGAACUUAAGCAUAUCAAUAAGCGGAGGA
rnacentral:misc_RNA from 1 species